AGAUUGAACGCUGGCGGCAGGCCUAACACAUGCAAGUCGAGCGGUAGAGAGGUGCUUGCAUCUCUUGAGAGCGGCGGACGGGUGAGUAAUGCCUAGGAAUCUGCCUAGUGGUGGGGGAUAACGUUCGGAAACGGACGCUAAUACCGCAUACGUCCUACGGGAGAAAGCGGGGGACCUUCGGGCCUCGCGCCAUUAGAUGAGCCUAGGUCGGAUUAGCUAGUUGGUGAGGUAAUGGCUCACCAAGGCGACGAUCCGUAACUGGUCUGAGAGGAUGAUCAGUCCACACUGGAACUGAGACACGGUCCAGACU
rnacentral:rRNA from 1 species